rnacentral:rRNA from 1 species
CCUACGGGUGGCAGCAGUGGGGAAUAUUGCACAAUGGGCGCAAGCCUGAUGCAGCCAUGCCGCGUGUGUGAAGAAGGCCUUCGGGUUGUAAAGCACUUUCAGCGGGGAGGAAGGCGGUGAGGUUAAUAACCUCAUCGAUUGACGUUACCCGCAGAAGAAGCACCGGCUACUCCGUGCCAGCAGCCGCGGUAAUACGGAGGGUGCAAGCGUUAAUCGGAAUUACUGGGCGUAAAGCGCACGCAGGCGGUCUGUCAAGUCGGAUGUGAAAUCCCCGGGCUCAACCUGGGAACUGCAUUCGAAACUGGCAGGCUAGAGUCUUGUGGAGGGGGGUAGAAUUCCAGGUGUAGCGGUGAAAUGCGUAGAGAUCUGGAGGAAUACCGGUGGCGAAGGCGGCCCCCUGGACAAAGACUGACGCUCAGGUGCGAAAGCGUGGGGAGCAAACAGGAUUAGAUACCCUUGUAGUC